rnacentral:lncRNA from 1 species
AUCCCUGGAAAAUAGGCUCCACACCUUAUCCAUUGUUUUUUAUACUGAAGGUCUUGAAGACAAUGAAAAAAUUGCUUUUUGAAAGUAUGAUGGAUACUAGACGCACAGUCCAGUUUCUAGUCUAGGACAAUGGGUCAGUAGGGGUUGAAAGGAGAGAUUAUUGUCCCUGAAACUCAAGAAAACAUUCUAGUUCCAGCAAAAUCCUAGGACGAGUUGAAAAAAAAAAAAAAGUACAUGUAUGUCAAAAUUUACUCAUGAUUAAAAAAUAUAUAUCUUAGCAAAAAAAGAUCUUAGGGAAAAAGGGGAACUACCUCAAUUUAAUAGGAAGUAUCUACAAACUUCCUACAGCUAAUAUCAUGUAAGCUCAUACAUAACAGAGAAAGAUUGAGUGUUUUCCCUCUAAAACUGGGAUCAAGUUGAGGAAGCCUACUCUCACCACUUUUAUAACAUAUGAUACUGGGAAUCAUAGCCACUUCAAUAAGGCAAGAAAAAGAAACAGAAGGCUUACACAGUUAAAAGGAGGAAAUAAAACUGUCCUUAUUUGCAGAUGAUUAUCUAUGGGAUCUAGAAAAAUAUUCUAGAACUAAUAAGUGACUUUAGCACCACCACAGAACAAGGUAGACAAAAUAUGUCACAAUGAGCCACACAUAACAAUAUUAACAAUGAACAUAUAAAAACAAAAAGUUUAAAACACAAUGCCAUUUUCAAUCAUACCAAAAAAAUGAAAUACUUAGAUUUAAAUAUGCUCCAUUGGGAAAAAUCCUGGGGAAUGAUUUUGACUGGUCCAUUUUGUGCCAUGUGUCCUCUCUGAAUAAAAUCCUGUGACUAGAGAAUUGAGUUAUAUGAUUGGUUCAGCCUUGGGUGCGUGCCUAGAGUGUGACUAGGAUAGAGGUGCUAGGGUUGACAACUUUAAGUAGAACUUCAUUUUGAGGUUGGAGAUAAUUCCUCAAAAUAAGAAGGAUACUUUGCUCAGAUUCUAUCUAAUGAAUACAAUGAUAAAUAUUGACUAAAUCACCAUCCCUCAGUUCCCAACAUUACUAUUAUACCUGACACUCAUUUCUCUAGGCUUUGGACCAUUAGAUAUUGGUCCCAGAAAUUAGUGAGUAUAAACUAAGCAGAUGGAGCUGACAGAGAUGUGUACAGGCACCUGGAGGACAUGAAAUAUUCCAUUAAGCAAAUUAAGUUGGAAAGAAAUUGGUUUGGUUGCUGAAUGUGACUGAAAGAUUUAGAAAAAUAAUUGCUUUAUGUUUUAUUUAGCAUUCCUAUCAGUUGGUUUAGUUCAUAAAGGAAACAGGAAAGAGCUCUUGAUAAUAUAAGCAAAAGAGAACUACUGGAAAGAAUAUUGAGGAAUUUACCAUUCUCAUGGAUAUCUGAGGUCCAGGUUUAGAAUUCAGGAGUUAAGUCUGUUGCAGAUGGCUAGCCAGCAGGAAUACAGUAGUUAUCCAGUAUCAGGAAUAGUCUUAUGAGAAUUUUAUGUCUAUCAUUUCUGGCUUCUCAUUCUUCCUACUAUUAAAAUGAAAAACCACAGGACCAAAAUGGCAUCAUUUGUGCUAAAGCCCAUGAUGCCAAACCUAGACUUAAAAUCUGACUUACCUACUGUUUCAACCUUUCCCAGGAAUGUGAUCUUAAUCAACAAAUCUGGAAUUUUCUGGUCAGCACCCAUGAGGUAAUCUGUCCCAGGGGCCCUCUCCAUCCUCCAGAGGAAGAAGAAGAAAUCUACAUCAUACAACCCUGUGGUUCUCUCCUGCUAAAAGAUCUAAAAGAUGCCCUGGUCUAAAAAUAAUGGUUUUCUUUUGCUAAUAGCUCCCCUGCCCCACCCUUAUUCCUAUAAAAACCUUCCAUUUUGUACAUUGCACUCUUCUACUUCCUAGAUAGGAUGCUGCCUGAUUCAAGAAUCACCUAAUAAAUUUAAUUAGAUCUUCAAAUUUACUCAGUCAAAUAUUGUUUUUAACCACUACCACUCUGGGAUCAAAUACAGAAUCCCAAGAGGGAAUGCCUCGUUGCUUGAGUAUCAAUUCUAUGUCCACCCCUGGGUGUACUGGGGUAGAGGAAUGCAUAUCCACCCUCUUGAGCUUUUGCAGAGAAAGUCAUCCUGAAUUAUCCUCCGUAUUCAUUUCUUUUGCUGUAUAAAAAGGUACUACAACCCAAUGGCUUAAAACAACAUCCAGUUCCAUAGCUCAGAAGUCUCAUCAGGCUCCCUGGGUAGCCAACUCAUGGUCUCUCAAGGCCAAAAGCGAGUGGUUGCCAGCCUGGGCUCUUAACUGGAGUCUAUGGGGACAAAUGUGCUUCCAAGAUUAUUCAGGUUGUUGGCUGGCUUCUGUUCCUUGAAGUUGGAUGACUGAGGUUAUCAUUUUCUGGCUGGCUUUCAGUUAAGGGUCACUUUCAGCUCUGAGAGACAACUCUCCAAUUGUUGUAUGUGCCUUUUUCCAUUUUCAGGCCAGCAAUGAUGCAGCCAACCUUUCUCAUAUUUUCAAUCUCUCUGACUCUGACCAAAUGAAGAACAUAGCAGAGGUAGCUUUUAAAGGAAUCCUGUGAUUAGGUUAGACCCUUCUAGGUAAGCCCCCUAUUUUUAAUUUUUUUUUCUCCUUUUACAGCCAUACCUUUGGCAUGUGGAACUUCCCAGGCUAGGGGUCAAAUCUGAAAUGCAGCUGCCUGCCUAAGCCGCAGCCACAGCAACACUGGAUCUGAGCUGCAUCUGUGACCUAUGCUGCAAGUUGAAUCAACACUGGAUCCUUAACCCAUUGAAUGAGGUCAGGGAUCAAACCCGCAUUCUUAUGGUCACUAUGUUGGGUUCCCAGCCACAAUGGAAUUCUUUCCCUAUUUUAAAAUUAAUAGAUAUGUACCUUAAUUAUAUUGGCAAAAACCCUACUGCCAGUAAGAUAACAUAAUCAUGAUAAUAGCACAAGAGGGCCAUCUAAAAUUCUAUAUACUACACCUUUCUAUCCAAAAUAGCUUCAACUUAAAAAGACAAAACAAACAAAAAAACACAAUGUGAGCAUUGUGAGAAGUUUUAUUCAGGGAAAAAUGAGGCAAAUUUAUGACCAUAGGGGGAGCCCUGUGAACUCGAGACUGGCACUUGCCAUCUGCCUCUACAAGGGCAGAAUCAUGAGCCACUACAGCUAUUGACUCUGAAAGAGUUCAGAGUGGAGAUCAGGAGUGAGGCACUCUGUGCUCUGGGAAAACUGGCAGAACUGGUCUUCAAACAGUUAUUUUCAGAAGAUUUUAUUAGUCCAAUUCUUGCAUCUCCUCGUAUCUAGAAAAGCAAUAAAAUCCUUCCUGGUGAUAUCGGUUCCUUGUGACUAGGAACAAACUUCUGUAAAAAAUGUGUGCUUGGUUGCAUGUACCUCCCUUCUUCACCAAAAUCAAUAUAAUCAAUAAAUACUGACAUCACCCCCACAUACUCAAUAUAUACUGACAUCACCCCCCACCUCUUUGAGCGGUUUUUCAAAGCUAUCUGAAAUGCUGCCCCCUGGGCUAUAGUCCUCAUUUUGUGGCCCCCCCCAAUUCAAUUCACAACUCUCACAUUGUGCCUUUUUUUAAAGUUGACAAUAGAUACAAGGGUAAAGAGAAAAUGCUGUCAAAGAGUAUUAAUGUCUGUUAGGAAGGGAAAUUUCCUGAACAGCCUAAACAAACAAGUAAUUAAAAACAUUAAAUGUCCACUUCAAUGUCUAAACUUUAUUUUUUGAAGGACUGAUGUGCAGAAACAUAAACAUUUGGACAUGUGUUUUGCAACAAUAAUAAAAAAUACAAUAAUAAGUAUUGCUCUUGGAUUGGUAUGCAAAGUGAUUUAACACAUGAGAAUCCCAAGGGACGUGGUACUGAUGUAAAGGACCACUGAACAAGGAGUCAGAUAACCUGGAUUCAAUUAUCUGCUCCAAUAGCAAUGCACUCUAUAACCUUGAAUAAAUUACUGACUUCUCCAGAACUGUUUCUUGAACUUUAAAUAAGACAAUUGGGCUAAAUUAUCUCUAGGAGUCUUUCUAACAUUACAUUAUGCUGUAAAGUUCUUACGACUCAAAAUUUAGGUGUGGGAUGCUCUGUGCUUUACCAAUUAAAUUAAAAUAUAUACAUAUAUACUUAGCUAAUGCUAGAAAAGUUACAAUGAAAUUGGCACAUACACAGUUCUGGAACUGGUGUAAAUUCUGUUAUCUCUCUGGGAAAUAAUUUUGUAUAAUAAAUCCAAAACUUAAAAGUAUUGCUAUGGAUUGCUAGGAAUAUACUUUACCAUACUGUAUACAAAUAAAAUAGUCAAUUACUUCAAGUCUGCAUUCACUGAAAGAUGUUCACUGUGGCAUUGUUUACAAUAAAGGAAAUAUGAAUAUUAUAUAAAUCAUACUUCUAAAAGAAGAACAAUUAUUUAACUUAUAAAAUAUUAAUGAAUGUGAUACAGACUUGACAAACUGUCUUAAGAUCUGCCUUGCAAUCUGAAAUAUGAUUAGGGAACAAUAUGAUAAGUAUAUGAAUUGCAAGUUUUUAAAAAUACAUAUGCUUCUAUGUACAUUUUGGAGGCAGGCACAUAAAAUUCAAGUGUAUUUUUUUCAUCUUUUUUUAAUUUUAAUUUUUUUGCUUUUUAGGACCACAUCCAAGGCAUAUGUAGGUUCCUGGGCUAGAGGUCCAAUCGGAGCUACAACUGCCACUCUACACUACAGCCACAGCAAUGUGAGAUCCAAGCCGCAUCUGCAACCUACACCACAACUCAUGGCAACGCCAGAUCCCUAACCCACUGAGUGAGGCCAGGGAUCGAAUCCACGUCCUCGUGGAUACUAGUCAGGUUUGUUGCUGCUCUGCCAUGAUGGGAACUCUGGUAAGAAAUAUCUUAAUGUUCCCCAAUAAGUGUACCCUACCUAGAAAAUAAUGUCUUCUACUUUCCAUUGUCAAAGAUGUUUACUCAUCAAUAGAUGGAACUUACUGCCAGAAAUCAAUUAGUGGAUUUAAGACAUUCUUAGUGUGAAAACUAUGACAUUUGGAGGAGAGGAGCUGCAAGUUGACUGGGGACAAGUUCUGAGACAAUUUGGAAUGGUAUCUUGAUAUUGUAGCAUUUUACUUUUCCAAUUUUCUAAUAUUUGCUAUAGUGCAUUCUGUUCCAGUUUGGCCCAUAUUACUUUUGCUUAUAGCUUCUGGGUCCCUCUCUAAGCUGUGCUAAACAUCUAGACCCUGAAUUCUGCAUUUAUCCACAGCUUCUUACUUUCUGUCUUGGGUUUGCUCUCCUGAAGUAUCUCUAGUCAUUUGCCUCUAGCAAUAGCCCUCAGUUCUGAAAGACUCUCACCAUUGAUCCUCUUUCAAACCCAGGCUGCACUCAAUGCGAAUAAAGAGAAUUGUAUUGGGAGUUGCCGAAUUAUGUAGCUGUUACCAGCCAAGUCAAGUGAGCCAAGGUCAAGAUCCUGAGAUCAGAGUGAAAAAUGACUAUCAGGAAUUACCUGCUCAGUGACCAGAUCUGAAGUUACUAAAAGAAGGAGCCAUGUAAGAAUUAGCCAAGAGGCCACUCUUGGGAAUGAAAUGAUGAAGAGGACAGCAGAUAGUUCAGGACUAAGUGUUUGUUUAGUAUCCUUUGGAGGAUUCAAAUUCCUGAUAAAUAGGUCCUAACAUAUCACAAAGCUGAAAAGAGCAUUCUAAAAGGGCUUAAGACAGGUGAAUGAACCCUGCAGUGAAGCAUGGUACCCUAGGAAAUAGAAUUCUCUGCAAAUAUUAUCAGAU